GACGAACGCUGGUGGCGUGCUUAACACAUGCAAGUCGAACGGAAAGGCCCUGCUUUUGUGGGGUGCUCGAGUGGCGAACGGGUGAGUAACACGUGAGUAACCUGCCCUUGACUUUGGGAUAACUUCAAGAAACUGGGGCUAAUACCGGAUAGGACCUCCUGCUGCAUGGUGGGGGUUGGAAAGUUUCGGCGGUUGGGGAUGGACUCGCGGCUUAUCAGCUUGUUGGUGGGGUAGUGGCUUACCAAGGCUUUGACAGGCAGCCGGCCUGAGAGGGUGACCGGCCACAUUGGGACUGAGAUACGGCCCACACUCCUACGGGAGGCAGCAGUGGGGAAUAUUGCACAAUGGGCGGAAGCCUGAUGCAGCAACGCCGCGUGCGAGGUGACGGCCUUCGGGUUGUAAACCGCUUUCGCCUGUGACGAAUCGUGAGUGACCGUGAUGGGUAAAGAAGCACCGGCUAACUACCUGCCACCAGCCGCGGUGAUACGUAGGGAGCGAGCGUUGUCCGGAUUUAUUGGGCAUAAAGGGCUCGUAGGUGGUUGAUCGCGUCGGAAGUGUAAUCUUGGGGCUUAACCCUGAGCGUGCUUUCGAUACGGGUUGACUUGAGGAAGGUAGGGGAGAAUGGAAUUCCUGGUGGAGCGGUGGAAUGCGCAGAUAUCAGGAGGAACACCAGUGGCGAAGGCGGUUCUCUGGGCCUUUCCUGACGCUGAGGAGCGAAAGCGUGGGGAGCGAACAGGCUUAGAUACCCUGGUAGUCCACGCUGUAAACGGUGGGUACUAGGUGUGGGGUCCAUUCCACGGGUUCCGUGCCGUAGCUAACGCUUUAAGUACCCCGCCUGGGGAGUACGGCCGCAAGGCUAAAACUCAAAGGAAUUGACGGGGCCCCGCACAAGCGGCGGAGCAUGCGGAUUAAUUCGAUGCAACGCGUAGAACCUUACCUGGGUUUGACAUGGAUCGGGAGUGCUCAGAGAUGGGUGUGCCUCUUUUGGGGUCGGUUCACAGGUGGUGCAUGCCUGUCGUCAGCUCGUGUCGUGAGAUGUUGGGUUAAGUCCCGCAACGAGCGCAACCCUUGUUCACUGUUGCCAGCACGUUAUGGUGGGGACUCAGUGGAGACCGCCGGGGUCAACUCGGAGGAAGGUGGGGAUGACGUCAAGUCAUCAUGCCCCUUAUGUCCAGGGCUUCACGCAUGCUACAAUGGCUGGUACAGAGAGUGGCGAGCCUGUGAGGGUGAGCGAAUCUCGGAAAGCCGGUCUCAGUUCGGAUUGGGGUCUGCAACUCGACCUCAUGAAGUCGGAGUCGCUAGUAAUCGCAGAUCAGCAACGCUGCGGUGAAUACGUUCCCGGAGGCU
rnacentral:rRNA from 1 species